rnacentral:rRNA from 1 species
CAUUUCUCUACCCAAAACAAAACCCCAAACAUUAAAACAAACCAUUUUACCGCCUAAGUACGGGUGACGGAAAAGGCAACUACACAAAUAAGCAAUAGAAAUAGUACCGCAAGGGAAG